UUGCUUUGACAGCACACAUCCUAAAAUUGGAUGAUACAGAGAAAAGUAGCGUGUCCCCUGUGCAAGGAUGAUGUGCAAAUUUGUGAAAUGUUCCUUAUUUAU